AUUGGCGGAGGCUUAAACAUGCAAGUCGAGCGGAGCGAGGGUGCUUGCACCUUAGCUUAGCGGCGGACGGGUGAGUAAUGCUUAGGAAUCUGCCUAUUAGUGGGGGACAACGUUUCGAAAGGAACGCUAAUACCGCAUACGUCCUACGGGAGAAAGCAGGGGAUCUUCGGACCUUGCGCUAAUAGAUGAGCCUAAGUCGGAUUAGCUAGUUGGUGGGGUAAAGGCCUACCAAGGCGACGAUCUGUAGCGGGUCUGAGAGGAUGAUCCGCCACACUGGGACUGAGACACGGCCCAGACUCCUACGGGAGGCAGCAGUGGGGAAUAUUGGACAAUGGGGGGAACCCUGAUCCAGCCAUGCCGCGUGUGUGAAGAAGGCCUUUUGGUUGUAAAGCACUUUAAGCGAGGAGGAGGCUUACCUAGUUAAUACCUGGGAUAAGUGGACGUUACUCGCAGAAUAAGCACCGGCUAACUCUGUGCCAGCAGCCGCGGUAAUACAGAGGGUGCGAGCGUUAAUCGGAUUUACUGGGCGUAAAGCGUGCGUAGGCGGCUUUUUAAGUCGGAUGUGAAAUCCCCGAGCUUAACUUGGGAAUUGCAUUCGAUACUGGGAAGCUAGAGUAUGGGAGAGGAUGGUAGAAUUCCAGGUGUAGCGGUGAAAUGCGUAGAGAUCUGGAGGAAUACCGAUGGCGAAGGCAGCCAUCUGGCCUAAUACUGACGCUGAGGUACGAAAGCAUGGGGAGCAAACAGGAUUAGAUACCCUGGUAGUCCAUGCCGUAACGAUGUCUACUAGCCGUUGGGGCCUUUGAGGCUUUAGUGGCGCAGCUAACGCGAAUAAGUAGACCGCCUGGGAGUACGGUCGCAAGUACUAAAACUCAAAUGAAUUGACCGGGGGCCCCGCCACAAGCCGGUUGA
rnacentral:rRNA from 1 species